UUGAUGUUACCACUGUUGAGGAAAUACCAACUGCCAUUUAGGGCAUUUUUACUGUGCCUCUGGGAUUCACAAAGACAAGUUGGUGAGACUGAGAAAGCUACUUGGGAGAGAGAAUGGACAGCCCAGAGAAGAGAGAGAGGCAGAAGGAAGCUGGCCAUCUGUCUCAGGUUUUGCAGAAGAAUAGCAUCUAAUGAGAAAUAGCUGCUCCUGGUUGUAGACGAGGUACUGUGGAUAUCCAUGGUGAUUGGAGGUCUGCUAGCCUCCUCCAGGCUCAUGAGAUCUGUUCCAAGGCAUGGUGUUGAUGGGAUACUGUCUCCUGUAAAGACAGAAGAGGAGAGUGGUGGUCAGAGCAUCAGAGCACUCCAAUUAUCACAGCACACCUAGACAAGGAUGAAAUUGUGGAUU